AGUGUGUUAGAUGGCGUUCCAGUCGUUUGUAGGUUCCGGUUGGUGGUUCAGUCAUGUGACUAAAGUAUCAUACCUGAUGUCCCAUUUACAAGAGCAUUUGGUUGUGUUGCUGGCUGCAUGAAACCAUCCAAAAGAUUGUUGCUGACUGGUGAUAAAACUAAAACGUCAGGAGAGAAAUGUUUAAAAUGUUUUGUUUCAGUACAUCUCUAUAAAAAUGGUAAUCCAGGAGCUGCAUUGUGUGCAACAGUCCUUGAAAAUGAAUCUGUCAGAAGGUGCAGCUCAUCCUGCUUUUCUUGGAAUCCCAC